rnacentral:misc_RNA from 1 species
AUUGCUUUAUUCUCAAUUUGUUUUCAAUUAAUUCUGGGUCUGCUAUUUUCUUAUGAUCUAAAUGUAUAUCUCGUAAAAAUAAGAACUUUUUUAUUUUCCUUUCUUUUUAGAUAUAAAAGGUUUUGUUUUUAGAUCUGUUGAGACGUUACAAAGCUGGUUUGUAAAGCAAGUUCAAAACUUUAAACAAGUAUAUGGGCUUUUGGAUUUCUAUGGUGCACUUAUUAGUUCAUUUCACUCUUUUCUCAUUGUUUUCUUGUUUACUCCUUGUGUUUUUGAUUUUUAGCUUCAGCUUGUCUCUUAAGAGAUCUUCCUUAGUUUUUGGUGGUUUGUGUCAAAUUUUUAUUUAUUUACGUUGAUCCACUCAAUUGUUG